GUUUUCCCCUAUUAAUGUUGAAGUUAUGUAUUUUUAUACAGUUUUAUGAGGCAUAAUAAAACGUGGUCUUUUGUGCGCUUGGAGAUAAUUAGAUUGUAUAACCGUUGGCCUCAUUAUCUCCAAGCUGGGCGGGUACUAAUUCAAAUGAUACACUGUACUGUGAUUGGUUACCUGUUUGUACUGUACCUGUAUUCCAUCAGGUCCACAGGGGGCUGUCCUUGGACCUGAAGAAUUGCAUAAAUUGCCAUGUUUGUGUGCCAGUAAAGCCAGUUCGUUUUGACCCUCAACUUGCAGCCUCGACUAAUGUUGUAGGGAUCCGGGAUAUUAAUGCUUAUACCGUGUUUGGGAUACUCUACACUUGCAGCUUUUACCGAAAGAACUCCGUUCGACUCUCCACUGCGGGAACCAGGACAUCCAAGCGAUCAACCCCCCUGCUAGACCGGGGGCAAUCGUAACAAUUGGUGGCAGCGGUGGGAUAAUCCUGGAAUGCCUAAGAGAGAUAUAGGACAGAUGGAGAGCAACUACGAUCAGUUGAAACGUACCACACUAAAGGAUUUACUUGAGAGCCGAGGGGGAAACGCAAGUAACCGACCAAGGAGAGAGUUGAUUGCUGACCUAAACGAGUUGGAUCAAAGUUUCACCAUGGCAGAACCAACGGUAACCCCCAGCGACGAAAAGACGAGGAUUGUCUGGGAAAGACUUCC